rnacentral:rRNA from 1 species
GAUGAACGCUGGCGGCGUGCCUAACACAUGCAAGUCGAACGAAGCAACUUACAGGAUUCUCCGGUUGCGAUUGCGGUGGCCGGGUGGGUGACGGGUGAGUAACGCGCGUGUAACCCGCGGUGUACAGCGGGAUAACAGCUGGAAUAGGCUGCUAUAACUGCAUAAGCGCACGACGAGAGAUCUCCUCGUGUUAAACACUCCGGUGAGACAGUAUGGGCCCGCGUCGGAUUAGCGAGUAGGCAGGGUCACGGCCUAGCAAGGCAACGAUGCGUAGCUGAUAUGAGAGGAUGAACCGCCACACUGGAAGUGAGACACGGUCCAGACUCCUACGGGAGGAAGCAGUCGGGAAUCUUACGCAAUGGGGGAAAGCGUGAUAUAGCAAAACCGCGUGAGUCAUGAUGGCCUUCGGCUGGUAAAGCGCUGUUGUUGGGCAAGAAAAAAAGCACUAUCAGCCAGGAAGGUAAUGACGGUACCUAACGAAGAAGCACCGGCUAACUACGUG